AGCAGCCGCGGUAAUUCCAGCUCCAAUAGCGUAUAUUAAAGUUGUUGCAGUUAAAAAGCUCGUAGUUGAAUUUCGGGGUUAGUAGGUUGGUCAUGCCUCUGGUAUGUACUGGUCUCACUGAUUCCUCCUUCCUGAUGAACCUUAAUGCCAUUUAUUUGGUGUUUUGGGGAAUUUGGACUGUUACUUUGAAAAAUUAGAGUGUUUAAAGCAAGCUAACGCUUGAAUACAUUAGCAUGGAAUAAUGAAAUAGGACGUUCGAUCCUAUUUUGUUGGUUUCUAGGAUUGACGUAAUGAUUAAUAGGGAUAGUUGGGGGCAUUAGUAUUCAAUUGUCAGAGGUGAAAUUCUUGGAUUUAUUGAAGACUAACUACUGCGAAAGCAUUUGCCAAGGAUGUUUUCAUUAAUCAAGAACG
rnacentral:rRNA from 1 species